UGGUCAUAUAGUGUUGAAACACUAGUUCCUGUUAGAUCGCUUAAGUUAAGCAACCUUGAGCCUGGUUCGUACAUUGAUUGGUGAACGCUUGGGAAUACCAGGUAGUGUAA